CCUACGGGGGGCUGCAGUGGGGAAUAUUGGACAAUGGGCGCAAGCCUGAUCCAGCCAUACCGCGUGUGUGAAGAAGGCCCUAGGGUUGUAAAGCACUUUCAGUAGGGAGGAAAUGCUGUUGAUUAAUACUCAACAGUCUUGACGUUACCUACAGAAGAAGCACCGGCAAACUCCGUGCCAGCAGCCGCGGUAAUACGGAGGGUGCGAGCGUUAAUCGGAAUUACUGGGCGUAAAGCGCGCGUAGGUGGUUUGAUAAGCUAGCUGUGAAAGCCCCGGGCUUAACCUGGGAACUGCAAUUAGAACUGUCUGACUAGAGUACAGUAGAGGGUGGCGGAAUUUCCUGUGUAGCGGUGAAAUGCGUAGAUAUAGGAAGGAACAUCAGUGGCGAAGGCGGUCACCUGGACUGAUACUGACACUGAGGUGCGAAAGCGUGGGGAGCA
rnacentral:rRNA from 1 species